rnacentral:lncRNA from 1 species
AAAAUAACAAGUCACAGGAUGCCUGUCUAGAGGGUAGCUUUGCUGAAAAUAACCUGGAGACUGAACAGAAGUCAGCAGUGUGUCCUUGUGCAUUAGAAGAUAACUCUGUGCUGAGCCAAGGGCAUGCUGGACAUUAAUGAUUCUUCCUCAUUGUUCAGUUAUUGUGAGAGCAUUAUCUGGAGAACUCUGUGAAGUGUUAGUUCCCCAGUACAAGAAAGUCAUUGACAUGCUGGAGCAAGCUGGUGCAAGGAAGAUGGUCAAACAGAGGAAAACUCACCCAGGAAGGAGGCUCUGCCCUUCAAGAUAUUCAGUACACAAUUGGGUAAGGUCCUAAAUACCCACUUUAACUAGACUUGCUAGGAUAGAUGACCUCUAGAGGCUUUUUCUGCACUAAAAUGACUUCACGGUUUAGAUUUAUGUGUUCUAAAAUUAAUUACAAUUGCAGUAAGAAGAGUGUGAAUUUAUGUGCUUUCUUUCAACUGAAAAUCAAUAAUUUGAGCUGUUAUUAUUUCAAACUUAAGUGGCUA